CUACGGGGCGCUCCAGUGAGGAAUAUUGCACAAUGGGGGGAACCCUGAUGCAGCAACGCCGCGUGGAGGAUGACGCAUUUCGGUGUGUAAACUCCUUUUAUAUGUCAAGAAAAUGACGGUAGCAUAUGAAUAAGCACCGGCUAACUCCGUGCCAGCAGCCGCGGUAAUACGGAGGGUGCAAGCGUUACUCGGAAUCACUGGGCGUAAAGGACGCGUAGGCGGGUUGGAAAGUCAGGUGUGAAAUCCUACAGCUUAACUGUAGAACUGCACUUGAAACUUCUAAUCUAGAGUAUGGGAGGGGGAGAUGGAAUUAGUGGUGUAGGGGUAAAAUCCGUAGAUGUCACUAGGAAUACCUAAAGCGAAGGGGAUCUCCUGGAACAUUACUGACGCUAAGGCGUGAAAGCGUGGGGAGCAAACAGGAUUAGAUACCCUAGUAGUC
rnacentral:rRNA from 1 species